CAGUCACAUGUACCAAUACAGUGAUGUGGAUCCUUCAGGAAGGCUAAUUAAAGCAGUGUGGAAAAAGAAAACUACACCAAGUUGGCAUGACCUAUACACUGGCAUCCCUCACAUGAAGAGGGAACAUUUGGCUUCGUACGAAGAUGCUGACUGCAGUUCAUCGUGGCUGUAGGAAGAAAUUUGGCAGAGAGGCACCUCGUGAUCACAGCAGACACAGGAUUCACACCACAGCCAUUUGGACUACAGGAAAACCUGUGUUGCCAGAACUCAGGAGUCUCCUGUGGCAGCUGGAAGGCAACUAGAGGCAUUUGAGAGGGUAAAGCACCCAUGUAUCUAAGCACAUUUCAUAGCAGCAUUCCAAGGGCAUUGCACAGUCAAGACAAAAUACAUUUUACCAAAAAGGAGGAGAUGGCAGAGAGAUUAAACUUCUUAUCCAGACCCACAGAGUUUAACACUUCACAUCUUCAUCUUGGACUCUGCAUUUUACUCAGCAGCAUCCUCAGCAUUUACUCUGCCUAUGACAUCACCUGUGCCUAACUUCCAAAGGCUAUUUAGGACAUACAGUUGCUAGUAGGACAUCUUGAAGACAAAAGAUUUGUGCAAGCUUAACUUGGAGCAUGAGCUGGUCUGAAGAAUAGUGACAGCAAUUUUGUUAUACUUGUGUGGUAUUGGAGGAGUACUGCAAGGUACCCCAUACAAACAAAGGCUUGCACAAGAAAUUUUUCAGAACAGAUAAAACACAAAUCUUCGUCGACAUCUCUGCUGCUUGUCUCUUCCACAGACAGAAUUCUGGACAUUUGCUAGUAAACCCCUUCAGAAGAUUUGCUUUAGAAAUCUCUGUUAGCUACUGAGCAUCAUGUGAGGCUUCUGUCCAGAACCCUGAACUGCAGCACAGGGCUGGAGCUUCUGUGGCUGGCAGAAACAGUCCAGUACCCAUGAGGACAGACACACUCCUUCAGUGGAAAUAUGGGUGUAGGUAGGUAUGAUUAUCAUAAAAGAAAAAGGAACCGUACUGUUGCUGUCCAAAUCUACUGUUCACCUCUUUUUAUUUUACAGUGCAAGGGUUAAGACACUUUCUUGCAGCAUACCAUACUUAAUUAUGAAUAUUAAUCCCUAUUAGGAGCAUUAGACUUCAGGGAUUCACCUAAGGACAAGUGAAGUACAUGGGAUGAGCUGAAGACCAAGACUUUAACAAUAGUUUGAGAUUUCAGGGAGAAGACAGUCAAGAGUGUCGAAUACAAGAGGCACUGAAGAUGCUUUAUUUACUUGUGCAUGUCUGGAGUAAAACUGUAUUUGCCCCUAAAGUCAAAGAAAAAUACUUGAACCAGGAAUAUUUUUCCUACAGAUUGUCAAACAUUUCUAUUCUGGAUGCAAAUGAAGUCUUGCUGCUUUUGCAGAUCACUUGCUAGUGGAGACUGACACCCAUUUGCAGAAGAAUCAGCACACAGACUUUCAAGGUUAUCAAUGGCCAACUUCUGCACAGAACUCCAUCAUCUUCAACCAGGACUUCAUUCCUUUGCUCCUAACACUCUCUACUUACCAAAUUAUCCAUUGAACUCCUGUGCUCCUCCAAAAAUGAAGAAAAAAAAAAAGGAAAUGAGGUACAAGGCAGAAAGGUAGGGAAGGAUACUGGCUACAAGGUUAGUGCAGCUUUAUGAAUGAACCCAAAAUUUUGGUCUUGCUGAACCCUUUCCACUGGAAACUGACACAAGUGUGAAUUUUGUCAUCUUGUUUGACUGAGCUUUUGAAAUCAAGGUAUUACUGGUAAAAUCCCAACUUUUCCGUGUUUCAAGUGAUCCUGGGUGAGAAGCAGAGGGGCAGGAAAGAAGAGCAAGAAAUCAUCCAUCAAAGCAAUAAGUUUUUCAUCUAUUUAUUGAUGGGUCUUUAGUCUUCUGAUGGGUCAGUUAAGACUAAAACCAUCUGUAGGCUUUUCUGUUCCAUCCCUUGUCACCCCAAUCCAUACCUCUGUCAGAUGUUUCUGUAAUGAGUUCUAGACUAACUUCAUUUUUGGAAAACAAACAGGAGAAUGGCAUUACCUUAAUCUGAGACAGUCUCUGUGUCAUGAUCUACAUUGUAGAUCUAGGAGAGGAAUAAGUAUUUGAAAUAAUAAUAAAAUGCUAUAAAGGAAGGAGCUAUCCAUUUUUCCUGGAUAGCUCCUGCUAGCUUCUGCUCUUUGACACACAGAGAACCCAUAUGUGCCUGUAAUGUUCAAGAUCUUUUGAUGUAACUGAUAGGUGCUGAUGGGUCCACAGCCUUCACUGUAUAUUGAGUCUAUUUCUACACCAACACUAAUAAUUACCUGUACUCAAUUACUAGAAUUCUUGUGCAAGUUGCUCUUUUUGUACCAUUUAAAAUGGAGUAGUACAGCACAGAGGAGCUGGAAUCCCUGUCCUGAAGAAUUCAGUCUAGAAGCUUACUUCCAACGUCAAACAAGAGACAGAGUGUAUGAGAAGAUAAAUUAUUCAGUAAUGGAUCCUACACACUUAUAAUGCACAAGUUGUAAUGAAUCUCAGUUGCUCUUGUAAUUCUGUAAAGUUGUUUACCUAAUAUGGUAGAUGUGCCAUAUGGUACACUAAAGAGAGUGUUAGAAUGAG